UACGUAGGGUGCAAGCGUUGUCCGGAAUUAUUGGGCGUAAAGAGCUCGUAGGCGGCUUGUCGCGUCGACUGUGAAAACCCGCAGCUCAACUGUGGGCUUGCAGCUGAUACGGGCAGGCUUGAGUUCGGUAGGGGAGACUGGAAUUCCUGGUGUAGCGGUGAAAUGCGCAGAUAUCGGGAGGAACACCUAUGGCGAAGGCAGCUCGCUGGGACGUUACUGACGCUGAGACGCGAAAGCGUGGGGAGCAAACAGG
rnacentral:rRNA from 1 species